rnacentral:misc_RNA from 1 species
CAGGACUCGCAAGACUCCCGUAACCAUCGUGAAUCUACCCCUUCGUUGCCUCGGCGGGUGCUCCGGCGGUCACGCCGGGGCGCUCAGCCCGCCGGCGGCCCACUACUCUGCCUCUCUGCGUUGGCAUCUCGAGUCGUUAGCAAACGAAUCA